GCCGGGCGUGGUGGCGCAUGCCUGUAAUCCCAGCUACUUGGGAGGCUGAGGCAGGAGAAUUGCUUGAGCCCGGGAGGCAGAGGUUGCAGUGAGCCAAGAUCGUGCCACUACACUCCAGCCUGGGCAAUAGAGUAACACUCCGUCUCGA
rfam:Pan troglodytes isolate Yerkes chimp pedigree #C0471 (Clint) chromosome 1, whole genome shotgun sequence.